UACGUAGGUGGCGAGCGUUAUCCGGAUUUAUUGGGUUUAAAGGGUGCGUAGGCGGCUUUUUAAGUUGGUGGUUAAAGGUAGCAGCUCAACUGUUUUACAUGCCGUCAAAACUGAAGAGCUUGAGUUAUCAGGAGGCAGGCGGAAUUUCUGGUGUAGCGGUGAAAUGCAUAGAUACCAGAAGGAACACCUAUUGCGAAGGCAGCUUGCUGUAGAUACACUGACGCUGAUGCACGAAAGCGUGGGGAUCAAACAGG
rnacentral:rRNA from 1 species